UUUAAAUCUAAAAGAAAAAGUGUCUUGUUCAACAAAUAAUGGAUACAUAAAUAUUUUAAUGAUAGAGGACUAGAAAGAUGGAAAGAGACUCGUAAUAAUUAAAAGAUAAAGGAUGACGAAAGAUCAUGGAAUUCAUGGGCAGACAGAAAAUUGUGGUCAGCUGUGAAAUCAGGUAGAUCCCUUGAAAUGAUCGAUCUCUUAAUGUUCAAACUCUAAAUCGAUACUUGUGCACAUUAAAGAUACUACACUUAUAUCCCCUUUGAAUCAGUACUAUACUUCAGGUUUUGCAAACGACCAGUCACAAGAAUUGAUGAAAAGUGGUUAGUCGUAGUUUUUAUUAGUUAUCGUGGUCAAGACUGAACACAUUAAAAGUCAAUAUCAGCGACUGGCAAGCAAAAGACUUGAAUGUGUUCCCAAUCUUUGUUUUUUUAGACUAUUCUCCUUCCAACAACUCUGAUCUUUGUAACUGCAUGCAUAUGUUGCAGCAAACAAAAAAUACAGAACCUUUAGCUUCCUCAUUCUUAACACUCUUUAAGGCCUAAAUUAUCUUCAUACAAUCAGUUUCCAAGAGGCAGACGUCUAAAGUUCUUGGUCUUGUUGUGAAGUGACAAGGGCAGGCCAGACGAUCUAAAUAAUGCAGUUUUCAGUACAUCAUAUUUGAACUAUGAGGCAUAAGCAUGAUCAUGGACACAGACACAAUAUAUACACUUGAGAUAUAAAAAGAACUUGUAAAUUUUGGACAAUCUAUGACUAUCAUGCAGUCUUGUAUAUGACACACAUCAUCUAUUCUCGUGAGUAGAACCAUUCAAAAGACGUUGGAAGUCGUAGAUACAUACAUACAUACAUGUUGACAAGGAGAUUUUUAAUCACAUGCUUCAUCAACAAAAAUACUUGGAGAUGAUUCUAUGUCCUAUAUAUGUUUUGAAGUCCAGUGUACCAGAAAUGAUACAAAAGUCAUAAGCAAGGAUUGAAGUUUUGUGUAUACCACCCAACGUCCAGGCGGACAAUACCAGUCAAUAGAGGAUCCAGAAUGCCUUGUAUCAAGCAGGUACACAACAAAAAUGUUAUAUUCUGGGUUAGACACUGCUCUGCUGGUCACAAAGUCAAUUAUUGGUUUGCAGUUGAUCAUUACUUGAAACCUGAGACAUCAAUGAACCCUCCUUUCCUUCUUUAUUCAUAUUAUUAUUUUCCCUCUUUUUUCAUAUUUUCUUAUAUUCCACACUGUGACAUCUAUGAGAUUGAAAUUAUUGGUGCUACUUAUAUUCCACACCGUGACAACAUUUAAAAGUGACAUUACAGUAUACAAUAAUAUAAAUCCGACAUUAAAAUGAUGCUUUAGAAAAAAAAGUUAAUUACAAAUCACCCAUUGUAGUUAGACCUCUUUAACAUUUCAAUCCCUAGAUUUAAACAAUUUGUAUUCACAUUUUGAUGAUUAUAAAAGUGAACCAUUUAAUCUCAUUUAUCCUAACAUCGUCAAUUUUAUCAAUAGAAGAUGCAGCACAUAUAAAAUUAUUGAUUUUGUCAAUGGCAAAAUGAUCAUUUCAAGUGGAUGAAAAAACGAGGCCAUUAGCUUAGGCAACGAAUAGAGUCGGUGCUGCCACUUGCAGAGGACCAUGAGACCGAGCACUACAUCCUCUUGGCAACAGAGGCUAAGGGCGACGAGAGGGUGGAGGUGUCGUGCUCCCACGUAGCCAAAGAAGGGGAGGCUUUGGGCGAGCUCGUCCCUCGCGAUUGCGGUGUUAACUCCUAGUUGCCGUUGGUGAGAAAAGCUGCAGUGGAGUGGGUCGCGUGCACCGCGACUACCUAUGCCUUCGCUCUAACGGUGAUACUCAUUGUUAACUACCUCGACCGGUGCUUCCUCUCCUGCAUCAUUGGCGAUGGGCUGCUCUGGCUCCGGGAUGACAAGCCAUGGAUGGGCCGAUUUGUGGCCAUGGCGUGCCUUUCAUUAGUGGCAAGGGUGGAGGAGACACACGACCCUUUCCAAUGAAGGUGGAGGCUUCUGAGCAAAGGAGGCCAAGUUGCUCGCCAAUAGUCGUCAAUCCAGUAGCUGCUUUCCUCGCGAAGCCAUUUCCACUGUUACCUCCACCUCUGGGAAAGUGGGCAAGGAGGUCGUGGACAAGGCGACGAGGCCGUCUUCGAGGAUUGACGAUGGCAAGCCCGUCGACAAGCCACGACCGCGGGGUAAGUUAAGAUGGGGAAGCACUCGAGUCUUAUCCACGCCAUGGUCGUGGACAAGGCGACGAGGCAUGGCCCAUUAAUCGUGAGGGACAAGCCCACCCAAAGCCUCCCCUUCUUUUAACGCAAGAAAGCAUAGCACUUUCACCCACUCCUCGUCCUCAACCUCUGUUGCUAAGAGGACGUAGCGCUCGAUCUUAUUAUCCGUUGUAAGUGGUUGCAUCGACUCUAUUUGUUACAUAAGCCAAUGGUCUCAAUCUUUCACCCACCUAAAAUGAUCAUUUUACCAUUAACAAAAUCAAUAAUUCUACACAUGCUGUCACUUGUUGUAUCUUCAAUCGGUAAAACCGACAAUGUUAAAUUAAAUGAAUGUUUUACUUUCAUAAAUGUAGAGAUGCCAAUGAAAAUUUUUUAAGCAUAGGAAUCGAAAUGCUAAAGAGGUCUAACGAUAAAGGAUAAUUUGUAAUUAGCUCUAGAAAAAAAGGAUACCAAUAGUUUGUUAACCUAUCUUUUCAAUUGACAAUGAAGUGUUAACACUUAACAAUUAUAAUAUCACAACAAAACCCUAUCUAUUUACCUUAAUUUCUUCUUUUAACCAAUUAAUGUUUUGGAAAUUCAGUAUUCAAUAAUCAUGAUCUACAAUCAUAUUAAAUUCUGAACAUCUCUCAAAAAAUAUUUAAUGAUGCAACUUAUCCAGAUUAACAGAAUAAAAAACAACCCACCUCUAAACUAUGUGCUUAGUUUAUACUUGCAAAUAGAAUAGAAAGCUUAUCCAAACUAUUUAAUUUAAUUAGGAAUCAAACACAACCUGAAUUAAUGUUUCCAUGGUUUAGUACAUAUUUUAACAAGAUCUCACUUUAUAUAAGAAAACCUAACAUCGACAAGGAAAAUCAAAUCCACAAAAACUAACAAAAUAAAAAAUUAUAAUAACUAAAUAAAUAAUCCAAUUGAUAUCUAAACAAAUUUUCUUAGUCACAAGAUGGAAGAUACUAUAAAAGAUUGUCCAAUGUAUAAUAACUAAUCUCAAAUGAAUUUCUUUUACAUAAAAAAACAAGGAUGUGUAAAUCUUGAUGGUAUUCCAAUUAGAAUGAUAACAUUCAAAUAAGCAAUCAGACAUAUAAGAGAAAAAUGUAAUACUCAUCAAUAUCCAAAAUGAUGCAAGGGGUCAUCCUAUCGACAUGUCAAGUCUAAUUGCCAAAAUUGGUCACUGCACGGACAACAACACCAUGAACAGCAUCAUUGAAAUUCCGAUGGAACCACAUAAAACCGAACUCUCAGUGUAAACAAAACAAAGAUCAUCGAUGUAACAAAAAUUUUCCAAACAACCAUGCUGAUCCAAUGAUGUGUGCAAACUGAAUACCUAAUCAACUUCUUUAUUAUACGAUCCAAGGUUUUUAAUUUCGUACCAUACCAGUGUAUCGAACUUUGCUCGAUACAGUACGAUACGACGCACCGCUCGGUAUAUGUAUAUUUAUAUACAUAUGUUUAUAUAUAUAUAUGUAUAUCAAAAUAUGUUUAUAUACAUAUGUUUACUCAUAAACAUAUGUAUUUUUAUAUACAUAUGUUUAUGAGUAAUAAUUAUUACAAAAUUUGUUUAUAAAAAUAACCCCUUUCCAUCUCAAGAGACGGAAAGAGGGUGAUGGCGGAGCGGGUGAGGAGGCGACGUGGUGAGGAUGCGACGCGUUGCCUCCAUCCCCAGCUCAAACUCAUCCCUCGUGAGGCACUCCGCAAUGCUCCCGCGGUAGCCAGAUCCGACGGGGAUCCAGUCCAAGGCAAGCUCAUCUCCCGCUCCCUUGCCGCCCUCAGCGAUGAUACAACACUCCGACACAAGUAUUAAAAUUUGUUUGACUACCAAUUGGACUAACAAUUUGUUCAAUCAUUAUAUUUUUUAUUUCUGUUGUUUGGGUUUGAUAUUCUCUAUUGAUGUUGGCCCUUCCUAUAACAUGAGAUCAGAUGAGUUGUAUGUCAAGUCUCUUCAAUUACUGAGGCCAGAGUAAGAUGUUAAAGCUUCAGUUAUUUGAUGUGCAUGUAAGCGAAACAAGAAGGCUAUCAUGUAGUGUUUCUUUAGCCAAGUCUAUGUUUCGUAUCUAAACUAUGAAACAAAAUAUAUACAUAAGAGUUUGACAUAUAAUAUAUGUUAGGAGAAUACAUGCGUCAAUAAUAAGUCCUAGGUACAUACAUAUUGACAAGGA
rnacentral:lncRNA from 1 species